rnacentral:lncRNA from 1 species
UUCUAUCCCUAGCAACGGCAUUUUUAAUUUUCCCUCCAUUUUAUUUUCAUUCAUCUCCUUCAACGCUGUUUCUUGCUGCUGCAUCACAGCAUUCGCCGUCGCCGUAAACCUCCACGUCUACUCUGCAUUUCUCCACAACUGGAUCGAUCCACUCAUUUCCGCAGCAGGAACAAUCUUUGAAUCAAUCAUGUAAGUAAGAAGAUACUUGGCCUAAAAUCUUCCGUUGUUUUAAAGGCAAUUAUUGCAGGGACCGAUCUCGAGAAACCCAUUAAUCGUCCUUUUGCCUUCAUUAUGAUACUCGAUAGCUAUCCAGCUCAUUACUAUCCAUGAAGGGAGGGGUUGGGUUGGGAGAAUUACUUACUUCAAACUCUACUCUCACAAUUUUGAAUUUUCCCUCUUUUAGGUCAAAAUCUUAGGUGUGUAGCCAUCAUAAUUCGUAAUAAUGCAGAGAGAAGAUGGGCACUGCAGCAAGCUUCAAUUCAUUUCAUCUUCAAUUCAAACCACCCAAUCAUCAUUACCGGUGGUAUGUGAUCUUUAAAUCCCUUGGAAACCCCCAAGUCUUUGCUGUCAGAUUAUGAUUACCUGGUAGGUCUUUCUCAAGGAAGAUUCAACUCAAUCAUUCCGUUGGGACUCAGUAGAAAAAACUCUGAGUCGAAUUUCAGUGGAUUUGGUAGCUGCUGCAAGUUUUAAGCAGAUUUCAAUGGUGAUAAGACAUUGUUUAUUUACAUUAUUACAGGGUUUUGAGAUGGCUCUCCCCCCAUCAGUAAGCUAGCCGCUCCAGAAAUAUUGACUUGCAGAUUCAUAUGAACAUUGAAGUCUUUUUAUUAAUGAGUGUGGUGACGUUUGCCCCUCUUGAUUGCACAUCAGACAGAAUCUGAUGAAAAGCACCCCUUUCAAAUCUUUGACUGUAAGUAUAUCCACCACAUUUCCUUCGUGAUUUCUUUUAUUUAUUUUCACUUGGUUUUGCCAUUUUCAUGACUGUGUUAGUGUGUGAAACUAGAUCGAAAGCUGAACAUGUUAGACCGAACUGGAUCCUAUGUUUCAAAGUGAUAUCGAUUGUAAGGAAACAAACGCAUAAGAACCCUAAAGUAAACCAGCAGUUUAAGAGGAGAGCUAUAAGUCUCAUAACUCUGUUUGACUGCUAAUUGCAUUUUUCUGAGUUCUCUUCUCUGUUUAGCUUCACCAUAAGUCUGGUGGUACUUGGCACUGUAUACGAUUGUUAAUGAAUGUACAGUAACAAUGGAAUGGCUUUCUUCACUAGCACAAGAGUCCAUAACAGCAGGCAUUUAGUAUUUGAUUGUGAUUUGUGACAUAGAACAGAUUUCAGAGCACUGUUUAGUGUUUACCAGAUUUUGAACUUAGAACAUAACAUAUUAUUGUUCUUUAUUAGGAUAAGUUUGGUAUUAUUUUCUUGGACAAAUGGUUUUGUCCAUCCAUAUUUGUGUUAUGUGCAGACAUGUGGAUGCUCCACAGUAUGAUAGUAAUAAUAGUAUUAAAUAUCACAUUCCUUCCUAGUAGAUAAGCCUGAUACAACCUUAACAUUACAAAAGUAACCCCCACCCAAAAAAAAGAUAGCACAGGAUGAUGAACAUGGAGAUAGGAAGUAAAGUAGACACUACCACAUGUCCUAUAUUAAGACUGACUGAAACUAGACCAAACUACUUACUACUGUUGGUUCAGAGACUGAUUUUUCAUUUUACACCAAAAAAGCAAAAUGAGAGGGGCAAAAGGGGUGUUUUGUCCUAGUGGUGGUGGUGUCACAUGACAUAUGUCACAGCCCUCUCAGCUGGAGUUGCCAUGAUUUUGGUUAGAGCUUGAUCCAUAGUUCUGGUCAUGGUUUGAGUUGGAAGACUUGGAUUUUGAGUUUCCUUUCUUGGAGAGCUUCUGUUUGAGUUCAGACAUCAGUGCUUGAUUCUCCUGGUUGAGAAGCUGUGCUUUCUUCCUUAGCCUCUCGUUCUCUUGCAUUAUGUAGCAGUUCUGUAGGUAGAGCUUUGAGUUCAGACUGUCCAUUGUAUAUUUGCCUAAGUAGCUGAGAAACUUAACAAUACCCUUCUUUCCCAAACUGCCUGAAUCCACGCAAAAGAGUAGUAUCUCAGAGAUAUAACAAAUUGAAUAAUGCAGCAAAUACAGGCAAAACAUUACCAUAAUGUUUCAAACUUGAUCCACAUUGUGGGAAAAGUUCAGACAUAAGAUUGUACAAAAAUUGAAAGUAAGACUUUCCACACUUGGUUACCAAAGAAUUUUGAGAUGAUCAAGAACAUGCAUAGUAACCAGAAUCAGUGAGUUGCAUAGGUGAAAGGAAAACAGAGUGGAAAACAGAGGUUUAGUUUGGGAAAAAACCAAGCAAAAAGGUUGUAGAUAUGGGAAUAACAGAUUAUCUAAAGCUACACUCAUAGGGUCCCCAUUUAGGGUUUUACUAAACAUGAAAGCAAAGGAUCACAAAAGGGACACUAGUAUGUAAGAGUUACUCAGGCAAAACAACAGACUCAAAAACUUUUCAAGUACUUUGGAACAUCUAUCUAAAGGACACCUUUGACAAAACCCAACAGGAAACACCAGAACAUGAACUCAAGUACCAAUGCACAGAUGAACAUUGUAAACCCAUAACGUUUAUAUGUGUGAAAGGUCACCUUUUUACUGGAGCAAGAGGGGUUUUGGUUGGUUAGAAACAAAGAGCACCCUUUGAUCUUCCUGGGUUUUUCUUUUUACUGGUUUUUGUUUUUGCAGAGUGUAUGGUGAAAAAGGGAAAGGAAGAGGAGGAGGGACAAAAGGAACAAACGAGGAAGUGGUUAUUAUAUAGAGCCAAAGAAGCUGGGGGGACAUCCUUCUCUUCUCUUCCCUGACACCACAAUCAUUGCAUAUUCUGUAGGGCGGCCGGCUAGGAUCAACAAGAUUUUGUUUUUCUGUUUUUGUUUUUGUUUUUUCUUACAUGGGUUGAGUUAAAACACUUAGAUUUCAUAUCAGAUUGAAGAGGAGAGUCCAUUGAGCGAUUAAAAUCGACAGACGUUCAAUGUUAGAGAUCAAUGAUACAAAUAUUUUUGAAUUUAUAGAGGUUUUUACUUUAGAUGAAGAAUGAGUCAAACUCUUAUGGUUAGAUGAAUUGAGUGUGAAUCUGAGUUGACGCAUGUGUUAAGACAAGAUAAUGAAUAAGAAGUCGAAUAUAAGUUCGG